UUGCCUGGCCUCCGGUCUCACCUCCGCACGCAUCUGGCCUCUGGAAACAGCUCCCCACGCACGCAUCUGGCCUCCGCAUCCGUCGCCGUCUCCCAGAUCCCCGACGUAGCUCGCCUCCACAUUCGCCCCCGUGUGUGGGCGUGGUCAUGGCGACACGCGCCGACAUCUCCGAGAGAGGCGCUGGCAUCCGGUGGCCGGGGCCUGCGCCUGCGCCUGCUCCAACGCGGUUACAGCUCCUCCGCCUGCGUCUUCAUCGUCGUCGGUGCCUCACAGCCGCGGCCAGGGGAGACGCUCCGCGACGAGGCUGAAGGAGAACAAGUGCUAGACGCACCGUGCACAGUUUCUAUCAAAGGGGCAAGCUCCUCAGAGGGCGGCGAUGCUGGCGGGGUGCUUGCAGCUUCUUUCUUGACUUCAAGGGAUGGUGCUGGAAUCUUCUUCAUGGUGAGGGGCUCAAACAACUCCGGCGGGGAUCUUGGGAGGAUUCAGGGUGCUCUUGCUUAUCCAUAG
rnacentral:misc_RNA from 1 species